UAAUCGAUUAAAACAUUCCAUGCGUUGUAAAAUAUCUUUCUUUUCCCUUUCAUCAUCAUUUUCAUCACCGCUGUAAUUCUCAACUAUACUCAUCAUCUGUGAAUAAAUUUUAUAUCCAAAAUCAUAUAUAAAAAACUAUUGAUAAAAAUAAUUUAGUAUAAAUAAGUAGAACAUAAAUUCAAUAUCCAAAGACCAAACAUAAACAACUAUUAAUAAAACUAGAUUACACAUAAAUAAGUAGAACAUAAAUUCAAUGUCCAAAAACCAAACAUAAAUAACUAUUGAUAAAACUAGUUUAGCAUUGUUGUUUAGUCACAUAAUAGAUAUCUCUGAACCCUAGAAGAUCAGAAAGUGUUCAACUAUCCUCCAUUUCCGACUUAAGCCACAAAGCUCUAAUCUUGGGAUUAAUUGAUAAAAACAUAAUUCACUUGUCCUUAUUGAGCAAUAAUUUAAGUGCGAAAAAGUAUAGCAGACUAGCUUCUGGAUCUUCUUUCGACAUGCUGUCAAGCACCUUGACUGCUUGUGGAAUACCAUAUGGAUCCAUAACAAGAGUCAAACUAGAUGUGGCUUGACUCAUAUUGUCAGCUGCAUUGCAUACUUUUUCUAUUUUUCUCAGGGUUUUUUCUUUUUUGACCGUUCCCAUCAAUUUGAACAUCAUUUGAAAUGUGAACAUCAUUUAAAAUAUGAACAUCAUUUCUCAUAUUUUCUUCUUCAUUCUCUUCAGGUAUUUCGUUGGUAACAUCCUCAAAAAAAUCAGUCCGAAAUGUACCAGAAGAAGGUGCCCAUGGUUUAUCACCUGUUGCAACUAUCCCCAUGAACAUUUGAUCCAACUUUCCUUUGAAUUCAGGAUCAAUGCCCGAAGUUCGAAAUUUUUAAGCUUCAGGCACAUCCUACAUUUAAAAUGAUAGUUUAAUAACAGCAAUUAUCAAUAACCUCAUAAAUAAGAAAACACAAAAAUAUUCAGAAUUGUUAAUGUACCUAUAGCCUACUCUCCCACCAAUCAUCCGAUGCAUCAACGGUUCUUUUUAUAAGAUUCCACCCUAGACCAGUAUCUUCGCCUUUAAGUUUCUUCCAAGCUUUCCAUUCUUUUUUUAGGGCAUCCCACCUAUUUUUAAGUUGUCUUUGUGAAAAACUCUUUCCCGUUUCUUUCUUAAAGUUGGUCAUUAUUUUCAACCAUCCAUCUUUUGUGAAAUGAGUACCAGGCCUAUUGCCUUUUAAUAUCUCUUUAAUACAAAUAUCACAAAAUUUUUCUGUCAAUCUCUUAUCCCACAUUGCUUUCACCUUUUCACCACUAACUUCAACUGCCGAAGUACUAAUCUAUUGUGUAUACCAAUAGAUUCGUUUUAGCCAGUAAAACAAUCAAGAAAAUCAAAUGUCACAUAAGUAUAUUAGUUUACAUGUGUAUCAAAAUAUUUUCCUCUAAUAUUAAUUUUACCAAAAAAUGGACCCGACAGUAAAUGUUAUAUGUCUUUAUUAUAUUACCAAUAUCCAAUGAAACUUCAAUAAAUUAGCCUAACAGCAAUAACAUGGCUAGCUCCCAUUGUCUAUAGAGGUAAAGCUCAUUUCUUUAAGAAAAAAGAUAAAUAGAAUUUUGCAAAUUGAUACAACAAUGUUAACUGCAUCUAACUAUUUAGAAUCCAAGGCAAAAACAAUGAAAGAAACGUAAUAAAUGGGUUUUACUUUGUCAAGUCUAAGAACCAAGGAAUUCUAGAAUAGGUUGAUUGAGAAUAAGCUGAAAAUAGUUAAGGAGAAAUAAAAUAAACCAAAUCAAUCAUUUACAAAAGAUAUUGUACUUACUAUUGAUUUAAUCAAUAAAUUCACUAUUAUACCAAAAAGUGUCAUUUACAAAAGAUAUUGUACCAAAUCAAUCCAUUUAUUUAUCAAUAAAUUAAACCAAAUCAAUCAUUUAUCAAUAAAUUCACAAUCCAAAGCUGGGUAAUUCAGUUACAUCUCUAAGGCCAAAGCUAUCAUAUUGUUAGAUAUAAUUAGAUUUAAACAUUAGUUUAACUACUUAUUAAAGUUCAAAUUUUAAAUUUAAAAAAUAAACUUAAACAAGAAAUAAAAUGUAUUUUUCUAAAUAGAUCAAACAUAAAAUUUUUAUAUCCGAAUCCAACCUUUGUUUUAUACUGUCUAACACUUUUUCAAAAACACCACAACACAUUCUACAAACAAAUAAAUCCAAGAAAACAUUUCUGCUAAAUUAAAAAAAAAAUAAGAAGGUAAUAUUUUUUUUUUCUUUUUUGAAAACAUCAAAUUGAACUAUUAUUUAGAAAACAUACGACAAACAAAAAAAAAACAAAACCAUGGCCCAAACAUAAGUCUCUGCUCCAUUCCACCAACAAACACAACAAAAAUCAGGUUAGACUUUUAAAAACAUUAGAGAAAAUAGUACAAAAGCUUAAAAUAAAGAUUUUGGUUAUGCCUUAGCUAGUUUUGAGCUAAAAAGGAUGGGGAGAGAUGUCGGAAAGGAGUUAACAGAAAUUCUUGCCAGGAAAACAGUAGCUGGAUUGAUGAAAAUAAGAAUGAGUUGUUUCAAACUGGUUUGAGAGAGGCCACAGUUGACUGGUAACUUAUCAGGGAUUGAAUAAUGCAUACAUUUAUAUUAGUUUUGAUAGGAAAAUGGAGAAGCAACCGUUGAAGAUGAGGGCGGUGGUAUAAGUCACCGUUCCAACAGAAGAUUAUGAGUGGUCUGUGGAAGGAUCUGCUUGUUCCUUUUGUAGGAGCUUACAGUUAGGUCCAGAACUUGAAAGAAAAGAAAAGGAGAAAUUGGAACACAUGUAUGAAAACGUCAAGUAGCCUUGGUAGUAAUGCAACCAGCAGCAAGGAAUUGAAUAAAUGCAACAAAUAAGAGUACUAUUGGUUUAAAAAACAAUCAGCACUAGCAAGUAAAUUUGACCAGAAAAACAGGCAAACAUUAACUGUAAUAUCUAAGGAAAAAAGAAUACAAGAUUAUAGUUUAAGAUAAAAGAUAGCUGAUGACUUUUGAACUUUUGUAAUGCCAAAAAUGCCAGCCAAAACAUUUCAAAAAGCCAAAUACAUAGUCAAACAAGAACUGAUUAGGAUAAUGAGAACUUUUCGAAUGUGCGAAAACAAAGACACAAAUAGCCUGGGCAGCAAUGCAUUAAUCAAACUUAGGAAUAUUAAAUCAAGACCACUAACAAUCAAUUCCAAAAUGAUCUUUAAGGAACCAUAAACAUGAAACGACAACACAAACACAAAUCCGUAAACAUGCGUAGGAUUCAUUAAAAGAAAAAAGUACAUAUGCGUUUGUGUGUGUGUGUGCAUGUAUAUAUAUUUACAGUCUAGUUUUAGUUUCCAAGGAAAAAGAUCAAAAGGAAACAAAUAAUAAUGUAAACUGAAAGUCUAAAAAAUAACCUUUACUCAUACUCCACAACAAUCUCAUAUCCAUCGAAACUGUAAACCAGUUGAAACCCCCAUUUUAAGUAUUAUCCAGUUUGGCACAACAAUGUUCUAAUUAUUUGCAGAAAAAAGAAUAGAAAUCGAAAAGAUGAGACUUUAUCAUCAAUCAAUCACAAUUCAAACUGUUUACCAAGUAAACCACCAAAUUCAGCAGGAAAAGAAAAUCAAAGCAACAUCAUUUAUCAAUUAUCGACUCCACAUUUGAAAUUCGAAAUACAAAAAUCAAGAUAUAUACUUCAUGCAAUCAAAUUUAUCAGAUUCCACUGUAGCUAAGGCUCCAAUCUACUGUUAUUCACCUCAAAAUGAAAUUAGUCAAAUAAUAAACCACAAUUAAAAUCUAAGGGAAAGAACAUGCAAGUAUUCAAUCCUCGUGAAAUGCAGAUGAACAUUAAGCUCAAACAACAAUUAGAAUCUAUCACACCCAAAUCGACAAAACACGAUCUUAAUCUUAGACAUAAAUUAUGCGACAAAUCGCUGAAAACAUUGAAGAGCUAGGCAGGUACAGGUCACGUUUGCAUAUAAAAAUAUCCAACUCUAAGAGCUCAAAUAAUUGAAAUCAAUGAGCCGACCAAGAAAGGUCAACGAAUAAAAAAGAUGAGGAAAAAAUUGAAAGAAACAUUUAAAGCGAUAAUAAUCAUGAGCCAAAACAGUCAAUGAAAUUAAAUGAAUUUUCAAAAAAAAAAAAGAUCAAGCAGUUUUGUAAAUUCAUAAAUAGGAUACCUUUUAAGCUUUUAAGCACUAGAGGGUUGCCUCAAAGUAGUAGCAGAGGAGGGUUGCCUGAAUGAAAAAAUCAAAAUUUUUUUCUUUUCAGCCAAAAGCACGUUUGUGGGAGAAAAAAGAUUAUGGGAGAAGACGACAAGUUAAUUUGGUCAAUUUUCAGCCAAAAGCACUUCAAGCUGAAGAAAAGGAGAAAUUUUUAGCUUUCUCUUCUCUGAUGGUGAAAUAAUCUGGAGAGAAGGAGGCUGUUCCUCAUUCCUUUUAAGGGAAAAUGACUUUUUCAAUGAAAAGUCCUUUUAAAACGUGCAGAAGAACGGGGCCUAAGACCGUAACAGGUUGGUUAUGGCAUCAUAUGGGAAAAUUUAAGGAAGGUUAUUACCUAACGAGGUUCUUUGUAUAUCCUGG
rnacentral:lncRNA from 1 species